AUCAGGAAAGGUCAGAGGUCCAUUCGUUCUUAUGUCGUUAAUAUUUUGGACUGAGCCGCGCUUUGUGAUGUAGAGGUUUGGUCUACAACACGUCUGCCUUAAUGAACUAUAACAGCACAGAAGCAAAUCCGAUGAGGAGGAGGAGGAGAACCCCGACGGUGCUGCCUGUCAGCUCUCUUCCAAUUUCAGGAUGCACGGACCUGAUGACUUUCUGGGAGCGGCUGGGAGAUGAGCGCUCAUGGCAGAGGCGCGAGGAGAGGCGGAGCGGCGAGCAGAGUAGGUGGUCCGACGCGUGCGAUCCUGGAUUCGAUGUUACGGCAGCGGUGUGAACAGGUUUCAUUCUGCUGUUUCCCCUCUGCUGAAUCCAGGGCUUGAAGGAGGAAUCUGGGGCUGGGAGUCAGCGCGGCGAGGUGCAUCGCCGCUGCGGGGAGACCUCCCCGUGCAGGGAAAGCCCUCCGCGUCGGAGCCAGCGAAACACCGCGUUUAGGGAGAACAUCGCUGGAAGCAGCUUGCGCUCGUGCACCACUCCAUCAGCAUCGUUCCAGCUCCUCGUCCCGCGAGCGCCAGCGCGAGGAGCGCUGCCAAGCCAGGCAAGUCUGACAAUGAAAGGAUCCAUCAUCACUCUCGCACACAUUUCCUAACGCUGCUUUUAAUGCCUGAACAUCUGGGAGAGAUACAUUUUACGCUCCUAGAGUCGUUUGCUUUGGCUGCGUGAAGACAUUUUAGAAAUGCGCUGCGCCGAGGAUUAGAGCUUGUGUGGGCCAAAGCGCUGUUGAAAUUGGAAGUGUUAGGAGGGAAUUAUUUUAAAAGUGCAUGACAAGUAAUUAACAGCUUCCUGAAAACUAGAACCAGUUGAAAUUUUUACUUAAGUUUUUUUUGCUAAGAAAAAUGGCUUUCAGAACAAGUAAUUUCUCUUUAAUUCAGUUCUUAUUUCUACUGAGAAUUUGGGAGGUUUUCUUAAAAAACAGAUACUGUGAUAUUUUUGGUUGCCAGAGGGAAGAAAGCUCUUUCUUACUCUGAAGUGUUCUGCUUUUUUGGAGGUGAUGGAGAAGACCCACCCCCACCCGAACCAGAAGAAAAUGGUGGCAGAAACGGCAGAAAAGCUUGCUACUACUUUUCGCGGGC